CUACGGGUUGCAGCAGUAAGGAAUAUUGGGCAAUGGACGCAAGUCUGACCCAGCCAUGCCGCGUGCAGGAUGACAGCCCUACGGGUUGUAAACUGCUUUUAUAUGGGAAAAAUUCUUCCGACGUGUCGGAAGUCGAUGGUACCAUAUGAAUAAGCACCGGCUAACUCCGUGCCAGCAGCCGCGGUAAUACGGAGGGUGCAAGCGUUAUCCGGAUUUAUUGGGUUUAAAGGGUGCGCAGGCGGAAUGAUAAGUCAGUGGUGAAAUCCUACGGCUCAACUGUAGAACUGCCAUUGAUACUGUUGUUCUUGAGUACAGUUGUAGUGGGCGGAAUAUGUCAUGUAGCGGUGAAAUGCAUAGAUAUGACAUAGAACACCGAUCGCGAAGGCAGCUCACUAAGCUGAAACUGACGCUGAGGCACGAAAGCGUGGGGAGCAAACAGGAUUAGAUACCCGAGUAGUC
rnacentral:rRNA from 1 species